rnacentral:rRNA from 1 species
AGUGAACGCUGGCGGUAGGCCUAACACAUGCAAGUCGAACGGCAGCACAGUAAGAGCUUGCUCUUACGGGUGGCGAGUGGCGGACGGGUGAGGAAUACAUCGGAAUCUACUUUUUCGUGGGGGAUAACGUAGGGAAACUUACGCUAAUACCGCAUACGACCUACGGGUGAAAGCAGGGGAUCUUCAGACCUUGCGCGAUUGAAUGAGCCGAUGUCGGAUUAGCUAGUUGGCGGGGUAAAGGCCCACCAAGGCGACGAUCCGUAGCUGGUCUGAGAGGAUGAUCAGCCACACUGGAACUGAGACACGGUCCAGACUCCUACGGGAGGAAGCAGUGGGGAAUAUUGGACAAUGGGCGCAAGCCUGAUCCAGCCAUGCCGCGUGGGUGAAGAAGGCCUUCGGGUUGUAAAGCCCUUUUGUUGGGAAAGAAAAGCAGCAGGUUAAUACCCCGCUGUUCUGACGGUACCCAAAGAAUAAGCACCGGCUAACUUCGUG